rnacentral:rRNA from 1 species
AGAGUUUGAUCCUGGCUCAGGAUGAACGCUGGCGGCGUGCUUAACACAUGCAAGUCGAACGAAGCACCUUGAUUUGAUUCUUCGGAUGAAGAUCCUGGUGACUGAGUGGCGGACGGGUGAGUAACGCGUGGGUAACCUGCCUCAUACAGGGGGAUAACAGUUAGAAAUGACUGCUAAUACCGCAUAAGACCACAGCACCGCAUGGUGCAGGGGUAAAAACUCCGGUGGUAUGAGAUGGACCCGCGUCUGAUUAGGUAGUUGGUGGGGUAACGGCCUACCAAGCCGACGAUCAGUAGCCGACCUGAGAGGGUGACCGGCCACAUUGGGACUGAGACACGGCCCAAACUCCUACGGGAGGCAGCAGUGGGGAAUAUUGCACAAUGGGGGAAACCCUGAUGCAGCGACGCCGCGUGAGCGAUGAAGUAUUUCGGUAUGUAAAGCUCUAUCAGCAGGGAAGAAAAUGACGGUACCUGACUAAGAAGCACCGGCUGAAUACGUGCCAGCAGCCGCGGUAAUACGUAUGGUGCAAGCGUUAUCCGGAUUUACUGGGUGUAAAGGGAGCGUAGACGGAGUGGCAAGUCUGAUGUGAAAACCCGGGGCUCAACCCCGGGACUGCAUUGGAAACUGUCAAUCUGGAGUACCGGAGAGGUAAGCGGAAUUCCUAGUGUAGCGGUGAAAUGCGUAGAUAUUAGGAGGAACACCAGUGGCGAAGGCGGCUUACUGGACGGUAACUGACGUUGAGGCUCGAAAGCGUGGGGAGCAAACAGGAUUAGAUACCCUGGUAGUCCACGCCGUAAACG